rnacentral:tRNA from 1 species
GGUAGGAUGGCCGAGGGUUAGGCGGUGGAUUGUAGCUCCAUGAACAAAGGUUUGAGUCCUUUUCCUAUCAGCAAAUUUAA